rnacentral:siRNA from 1 species
GUAGACUUUCGGGCUUGAACUU